rnacentral:misc_RNA from 1 species
AUUGAUAGGAGCAACAACAUGGACCGUCUCGUGAUGGAAGUCUCUGUCACGGGAAUUUAUAGAGAAGUGCAAGCAAUCUUGACAAAUCAAAGAGAAGAAAAACCAUGAAUAAUUUCACUUCAGAAAUCUGUUCAUUAAACAUACAUGCCACUAAGUGUUGUACCCUAACUAUAGCAGUAGCAGAAAAAGAGGAAGUGAAAUACAAAUCUGUAUCAUGUGAAGCCAAACCAUUUUACAAGAUAUCAAGUAAAAGAGAAGAAGUGAAAGCGUUCUAAAAGAAGGUAGGCCUAGUAGAAUCUCAAGUUGUGAAAAGGGUAAUACAAAAUCAUAUCUCUACUAGGGAGACCAAAUAUCAAAUUGGUUGGUCAUGCAUUGAAUGGUUGUUGCCGGCCUUGUCCAUUGUUGUAUCCAUCAUAGGGCUUGGUGGAUUUCUGAGACCUUCUCAAGACUGCUAUCCAAGUAAUUAUUUCCAUCAACAAAGCAAUCCCACCCAAGACUGCAAUCACAAUUAUGUAAGUCGAUUUCCACUUCUGCUCAGGGUGCAAGAUGUCUAGACCUUUGAACACAUUCACAAUGCCAAGGACAAGUAUGGCAUAUCCAACACCGUGAUGGUAGAUAUUCCAAUAGAAUCGGUAUUUGUGGUCCUUCUUCGGUCUCAAGAACAAUGCAAAAAUCUGAGAGAACCAACCAAAUAGUACCCAUCAGAGAAAAUAUUCAAAAUCAAUUCCCAUACUUCACAAUAAACCAAUUGCCAGAUCUCACUCAUUGGCACCAUUGCCAGCCAAGAAGAGGGAUAAAUACAGAAAAAAGACAUAAAUAUCAAGUUUCCUACUAGAGAAGGAAAGAACGGGAAAAACAGGUAAUUAUCCCAAAAAUUUUUCCGUAGAUACAUGAGUACCAAAGACCAAAAGAAGUUUCUUUUCAAUUCAAUCCAGGACCAGAUUCGAUAAAAAUCUCUCACCAGGAUCUAACAAACGAGUGGGGAACAAAAUUUAAGGGUAUGUUGUUUCAAAGAAAAAACUGGCCACAUAUAAAAUCAUGAAGUUCAGUGUGCAUAGGGCUAAACUCUGGCGCCCUCCCAAAAACCUUCACAAUUUUUUUCCCCUUUCUCCUCGCCACAUUGAUCAUUGAAAAAGAAUUUACCUGUAGCGUUGCUAAAGAGAAAAGGGAGAUCCCAAUAUUCCGAUGAGCAGUCCACUGAAUGCCCUUUGAUUCACUUCCAAGUUUCAAACCAGUAGCCCACCCCGCAACCCCAAUAGCAUAAGCAGAAACCUGGCAAGAAACAUGGAGAUAAAACCACGCUGGAUCUGCAGACUGGAAAGGUCUAAGGUAACGUGCUAUUAUAACUCCAAUUGGAAACAGAACUCCCCAGCUCACAGCAUUCAGCACCCCAUGAAUAUUUCUCUUCUUAGUUUUGGAGUCCACUCCACCGGUAACCACAGUCUGUCCUCCCUUCAAAUCCAAGGUUCCCUUGGCGUUCAAAUUUGGAGACUGCAUGGGGUGUGGCGUCAGUACCCCUUUGGAAUCGACGCUGGGACCCACCUGCCACACCUGAUUCACCACCCCCUUCGCUGCCAAGUCCGCCGGAACCUUAAUUUUCGCAAAGAUCCUCAUGACGCCGUUAUCCUCCUCUGCCCGUUCGUCCCACACGUCAAAAGCCAAUUUUGACUGCACCACCGAAGCAAGCGUGUAAGAGCUGAUGUUGUACGUCUUAACAGUCAUGGAACCUUUCGAAUCCUUGUAGCCAACAAGCGCCUGAGCCCCUGGCAUUCCGGUGCCCGUGGGGUUUAUAGCCCAGGAAACCCAUCCAUCAGAUUUGGCAGGGGAAGCAAGGAAGGCGAUAGAAAGAGUAGAAUUAGCGGAAUCGUAAGAGAAAUGGAGAUAGGAGGUGAGGGUAGGGAGGUCUACACAGUGAGCAUACAAAUCAUUGCCGGUGAAUUUCUGAAAGGUGCAGGUCUGCGAGAGCGCGGGUGAGAAAAGAGAAACCAAUAGGCAAAACCCUAAAAUCAAAACAGAGAAGAUAAGGGAAGCCAUUGUUGAGAGCUUUCAGUUACUGACAGAUUAAGAGAGAGCAGAAGAAAAUGGAUGCCAAAUAUUUGGAGGAAUUUAUAGAAAGGUACUUUAACGCUAUGUUUGGAUGGGUGGAAAAGGGGGAGGAAGGAAAAUAAAUAGGGGAAAAUAACUUUGAAAAGACAUUUUCCUUUGUUUGAAUAAGAGAGGGAAAAUAAGGGAGGAAAGGAAAAUAAGUCUUAUUUUCCUCUAGUUAUUUUCCCUCCAAAUUGGAGAGAAAAUAAAAAAUCAAAGGAA